UACGUAGGGUGCGAGCGUUGCCCGGAUUUAUUGGGCGUAAAGGGCUCGUAGGCGGCCAACUAAGUCGGACGUGAAAUCCCCAGGCUCAACCUGGGAACUGCGUCCGAUACUGGAUGGCUUGAAUUCGGGAGAGGGAUGCAGAAUUCCAGGUGUAGCGGUGAAAUGCGCAGAUAUCAGGAGGAACACCGGUGGCGAAGGCGGGUCUCUGGGCAACAACUGACGCUGGAGGAGCGAAAGCGUGGGGAGCGAACAGG
rnacentral:rRNA from 1 species